rnacentral:rRNA from 1 species
AUUGAACGCUGGCGGCAUGCUUUACACAUGCAAGUCGAACGGCAGCGCGGGGGCAACCCUGGCGGCGAGUGGCGAACGGGUGAGUAAUGCAUCGGAACGUAUCCUGUAAAUGGGGGAUAACGUAGCGAAAGUUACGCUAAUACCGCAUACGCUCGAGAGAGGAAAGUGGGGGAUCGCAAGACCUCACGUUAUAGGAGCGGCCGAUGUCCGAUUAGCUAGUUGGUGGGGUAAAGGCCUACCAAGGCGACGAUCGGUAGCUGGUCUGAGAGGAUGAUCAGCCACACUGGGACUGAGACACGGCCCAGACUCCUACGGGAGGCAGCAGUGGGGAAUUUUGGACAAUGGGCGAAAGCCUGAUCCAGCCAUGCCGCGUGCGGGAAGAAGG